UACGUAGGGGGGCAAGCGUUGUCCGGAAUCAUUGGGCGUAAAGAGCGUGUAGGCGGCUCGAUAAGUCUGCUGUGAAAGUCUAGGGCUCAACCCUGGAAGGCCGGUGGAAACUGUCGGGCUAGAGUCCGGAAGAGGCGAGUGGAAUUCCCGGUGUAGCGGUGAAAUGCGCAGAUAUCGGGAGGAACACCAAUGGCGAAGGCAGCUCGCUGGGACGGUACUGACGCUGAGACGCGAAAGCGUGGGGAGCAAACAGG
rnacentral:rRNA from 1 species